AAAAAACACAUUUAUAUGCAUAUGACAGAUAGGCGCAUAUUUAAUUAUCGAUGAGUCAUAAAUUAUUUUAUUAUUGAAAAAAAUAAAAACACCAACUUUGAGACCCUGUUGCUAUUAAAUAUCAAUUAAUAGAAGCAGAAAAGCAAAACUGAGGAGUUCUUGCCUCUUACUUCUUCUUGAGUGAGUAGAGAGAGAAAAGUACCAUAUCUUGUUUGAUGGAAGAACAGAGUCCAAACUCUACAUCAGAGUUUAUGAUGGCAAAGCUGCAGGAACUUAGAGCAGAUUUAGAGAACGACAUGAUGCAAGUUCCGUUGGAAGAAGAAAUGGUACAAAAGUUCAUGCAAGACCUCUAUAAGGAGAUCAAUACAAAAACUACAAUUGCAUGCUCCGCUAACCCCACGCCACCAUUGCUGCCACAGAAUGACAUUUUCAUCCCCCUUCUUCAGAACGAGGAUCAAGAAAUGAACAUAGAGCACUUUGGAGCUGAUUUUGAUGACGAGUGGCUGGCAAAAGUUCUUGUUUGGUACCAGAUUGUGGAGAAUAGUGAGUGGUUUUGAGUUCAACUCCAUCAUGAUAUAAUUAUGAUAGAUGUAUCAGAUGCUUUCUAAGACAGUGUUCGUUUUUAUUUAUAUGUAUACUUGCAUGUAUGCCGGUGGUAAUUAAUAUUAAUAAUUAAGUAGCUUGUCAAGUGUGAACUAUUAGCAGUAAAUUAAAAGUAUACUUGAUAUGUAAAUUAUUUGGAUAUUUGCCAUAUAUAUGUUGUAUAAUUAAGUAGUGCUCGUUUGUUGUUUCACCUUUGAUUUGAUUUUGUUUAAUUUGCAUUAUGUUCCUUUUCUUUCUUUUAGCUUUGCCUCUUCUGUCCUACUAUUUUCUCCUUUACUUUUAAUCAACCAUCAAAACUUAGAAGCAAAUACAACAGAGUGUAUUACAAGAUAUUUGCCAUAAAU
rnacentral:lncRNA from 1 species